rnacentral:rRNA from 1 species
UGGGGAAUAUUGCACAAUGGGCGCAAGCCUGAUGCAGCCAUGCCGCGUGUAUGAAGAAGGCCUUCGGGUUGUAAAGUACUUUCAGCGAGGAGGAAGGCGUUAAGGUUAAUAACCUUGGCGAUUGACGUUACUCGCAGAAGAAGCACCGGCUAACUCCGUGCCAGCAGCCGCGGUAAUACGGAGGGUGCAAGCGUUAAUCGGAAUUACUGGGCGUAAAGCGCACGCAGGCGGUUUGUCAAGUCGGAUGUGAAAUCCCCGGGCUCAACCUGGGAACUGCAUUCGAAACUGGCAAGCUAGAGUCUUGUAGAGGGGGGUAGAAUUCCAGGUGUAGCGGUGAAAUGCGUAGAGAUCUGGAGGAAUACCGGUGGCGAAGGCGGCCCCCUGGACAAAGACUGACGCUCAGGUGCGAAAGCGUGGGGAGCAAACA